AUUGAACGCUGGCGGCAGGCCUAACACAUGCAAGUCGAACGGUAACAGGAAGAAGCUUGCUUCUUUGCUGACGAGUGGCGGACGGGUGAGUAAUGUCUGGGAAACUGCCUGAUGGAGGGGGAUAACUACUGGAAACGGUAGCUAAUACCGCAUAACGUCGCAAGACCAAAGAGGGGGACCUUCGGGCCUCUUGCCAUCGGAUGUGCCCAGAUGGGAUUAGCUAGUAGGUGGGGUAACGGCUCACCUAGGCGACGAUCCCUAGCUGGUCUGAGAGGAUGACCAGCCACACAGGAACUGAGACACGGUCCAGACUCCUACGGGAGGCAGCAGUGGGGAAUAUUGCACAAUGGGCGCAAGCCUGAUGCAGCCGUGCCGCGUGUAUGAAGAAGGCCUUCGGGUUGUAAAGUACUUUCAGCGGGGAGGAAGGGAGUAAAGUGGAUACCUUUACUCAUUGACGUUACCCGCAGAAGAAGCACCGGCUAACUCCGUG
rnacentral:rRNA from 1 species